GAAGUUCGUAAAUUGAAAUUGAACAUGCGUAAUUAAUCUUUCUGAAUAGGAAAAAAUAUAUACACAACAAAACUCUCCGUUUAUGGAACAUGCGCAUUUGUUCUCAGUAAGUUUUUCGUUUUGAAAGUGAGCAUGCGCAUGGUGAGUAGGUUGGUCCGAAGUUUGAACCGGACAGAAGCGCUGGUCGGCGUCUGGCGUUCCAAUUGCCCGGGCUGUUCUUGUUGACAUGGAACCCAAAGUUAUCAAUCAAAUGCUGUCAAAGGCUGCCCAGUCUGGCCAAUGGAAAUAUGGUCAACAUGCAUGCUUCUGUCAAAAACAAGGUUCUGGAAACAACUGGGCAUAUGGGUAUUGAUAGGCAUGUAUGGCCUCCUUUAUCAGGACUUCCUCCUCUUAGUAAAAUGUCUCUCAACAAGGACCUGCAUUUUAACACUUCCAUUGCUAACUUGGUCAUUCUUCGUGGGAAAGAUGUGCAAAGUGCAGAUGUGGAGGGAUUUAAAGAUCCAGCUCUGUAUACUUCCUGGUUGAAGCCUGUUAAUGCUUUCAACGUGUGG
rnacentral:lncRNA from 1 species